rnacentral:rRNA from 1 species
CCUACGGGUGGCAGCAGUGGGGAAUAUUGGUCAAUGGACGAGAGUCUGAACCAGCCAAGUAGCGUGAAGGAUGACUGCCCUAUGGGUUGUAAACUUCUUUUAUAAAGGAAUAAAACGAGGCACGUUUUCCUGUUUGCAUGUACUUUAUGAAUGAGGAUCGGCUAACUCCGUGCCAGCAGCCGCGGUAAUACGGAGGAUCCGAGCGUUAUCCGGAGUGUUUGGGUUUAAAGGGAGCGUAGAUGGGUUGUUAAGUCAGUUGUGAAAGUUCGCGGCUCAACCGUAAAAUUGCAAUUGAUACUGGCAGUCUUGAGUACAGUUGAGGUAGGCGGAAUUCGUGGUGUAGCGGUGAAAUGCUUAGAUAUCCCGAAGAACCCCGAUUGCGAAGGCAGCUUACUAAACUGUGACUGACACUGAUGCUCGAAAGUGUGGGUAUCAAACAGGAUUAGAUACCCCGGUAGUC